GGGGGUGUUUGGUUUUGACAGCAUAGAUCUUUGAAAGUGUAAGCAUGCCGAGCGUUGGAUAAUUAGCUCGUAAAUCUGAAUAUUCAAAAUUCAAAUGGCGAAUCUAACUACGCCAUGGCUGCCUAAUUAGUAAUUAGCGCAUCCAUUAUGGCCGAGACUUUCCUUUAGCCUUUCGGGGUGUCUCCGCUUAAUCAAAUCUGCAAAGGCUGCGGCAACUGAAGGCUGUGACUGUUGCUUAAGUACCAUCCAGCUAAGGAAAUAAUUGGUUCGUUCUCUUCCGGUUAUUUUCCCGACAAAUAAUUGGGAAAUAAGCAUGUAGAAAGCUUUCGGCGGUUAUGUUUGGACACCGGUUCGACUCCGGUCACCUCCACAA
rnacentral:tmRNA from 1 species